rnacentral:rRNA from 1 species
UACGAAGGGGGCGAGCGUUGUUCGGAUUUACUGGGCGUAAAGGGCGCGUAGGCGGCGCGGUAAGCGUGCGGUGAAAGCCCGGGGCUCAACCCCGGGUCGGCCGUGCGGACUGCCGGGCUCGAGCACUGUAGAGGCGGGUGGAAUUCCGGGUGUAGCGGUGGAAUGCGUAGAGAUCCGGAAGAACACCGGUGGCGAAGGCGGCCCGCUGGGCAGUGGCUGACGCUGAGGCGCGACAGCGUGGGGAGCAAACAGG